UGUGAGGGUGAUCUGGCUGUACUGUCUGUGACCUCAUGGUUACCCAGGGUUGAUUCAGCUGAUUUGAUUGGCUAGGAAGAUGUUCUCUUCCUCCCUCCCUGU
rnacentral:sRNA from 1 species